rnacentral:rRNA from 1 species
CCUACGGGUGGCUGCAGUAAGGAAUAUUGGUCAAUGGAGGGAACUCUGAACCAGCCAUGCCGCGUGCGGGAAGAAGGUCCUCUGGAUCGUAAACCGCUUUUAUUAGGGAAGAAUAGCUAAGAUUGAUCUUAGAAGCGACGGUACCUAAGGAAUAAGCACCGGCUAACUCCGUGCCAGCAGCCGCGGUAAUACGGAGGGUGCGAGCGUUAUCCGGAAUCACUGGGUUUAAAGGGUGCGUAGGCGGUAAUAUAAGUCAGUCGUGAAAGGUUCCCGCU